rnacentral:lncRNA from 1 species
UAUGUUUCUAGUUAGUCAAUCAUGGAGUCCUAGAGUUUAGGAAGUAGUUAAACAUAGUGGCUGAUAUUCAACAUGCUUUCUGUUUUUCAGUUUAUAAAUUUGUGAGUCCAAGUUUCAGAUUAAUUAAGCUUCUAUUUUCCUCAACAAGUUCUCUCUGCUCACUUUUCUCUAGCAUCUUUUCAUCUUUAAACCAACAAAUUGGUAUCAGAGCUUUCUUCUUAAGGGACCUGUGUGAGAGUGAAACCAGUCAUGGAGGGUGAACAAAGUUUUUACAAAUUGGCAUCAGAGCUUUCUUCUUAAGGGACCUGUGUGAGAGUG